UACGGAGGGGGCAAGCGUUGUUCGGAAUUACUGGGCGUAAAGGGCUCGUAGGUGGCCAACUAAGUCAGACGUGAAAUCCCUCGGCUUAACCGGGGAACUGCGUCUGAUACUGGAUGGCUUGAGUGUGGGAGAGGGAUGCGGAAUUCCAGGUGUAGCGGUGAAAUGCGUAGAUAUCUGGAGGAACACCGGUGGCGAAGGCGGCAUCCUGGACCACGACUGACGCUGAGUGAGCGAAAGCCAGGGGAGCAAACGGG
rnacentral:rRNA from 1 species